CCUACGGGAGGCUGCAGUGGGGAAUAUUGCGCAAUGGGCGAAAGCCUGACGCAGCGACGCCGCGUGAGGGAUGACGGUCUUCGGAUCGUUAACCUCUGUCAGCAGGGAAGAACGGUCACUGUGCUAAUCAGCAGUGAAUUGACGGUACCUGCAAAGGACGCACCGGCUAACUCCGUGCCAGCAGCCGCGGUAAUACGGAGGGUGCGAGCGUUAAUCGGAAUUACUGGGCGUAAAGCGCUCGUAGGCGGUAUGUCAAGUCAAGGGUGAAAUCCCCGCGCUCAACGGGGGAACUGCCUUUGAAACUGGCAAACUGGAGUGUGUGAGAGGAUAGUGGAAUUCCAGGUGUAGGAGUGAAAUCCGUAGAUAUGUGGAGGAACAUCAGUGGCGAAGGCGACUAUCUGGCACAUAACUGACGCUGAGGAGCGAAAGCGUGGGUAGCAAACAGGAUUAGAUACCCUAGUAGUC
rnacentral:rRNA from 1 species